UCUUUUUUUUUUUUUUUUUUUUUUUUUUCCCCAAAGAAGGUUCAGUGUGUGGUGCCACCACCCUCUGCAGAAGAGCCUGGUUUUGGUGGCAUCUCUUCCAGCAUCCUUCCAGAGGGACCUGAAGGUUGAAAGCACACCAUGACCCCAUGUCAGGGCAAAGCCCAGGUGAUGCUUUACUGAGGAUUGGGGCUGUCUUCUCCAGAACACUCUGCGAGAUUAUGGUCUGAUUAAUAAAAUACAGACACUUCAGGCAAAAUAGUCUGAGGCUAACAAAGCUGAUUGCUUCUGCAUCUUGCAGGCUGGUUAGCGCCAGCCUGAGUGAGAUCCAUCACUUUGGGGGAAUGGCAUCACACGGAAGAGGAAAGGAGGAGGAUCUGGUAAUGUUGUACCUGCGGUUUAUUUCAGAUUCUCACACUGAAGGGGGGUGAUCAGUGUUUUUAACUAGAUAUCUCAAUUUUCUAGGAUAGAGGGGUGGCCUCUGUGUCCCAGUUUCCAUGUGCAAAGUGAGGCAGCAGGUUUACCUGCCAAAACUGGCAUGAGAAUAAAACAUCAAAAUUUUAACCGUUGGAGACGAGGACCAGAGAGAAUUCUAUGGGAUUCAAAGCCACAGCAGAGUCCAUGGAUAUAGCAGUUAUGGCCAGCAUAGCUCCCUUAUCCCAGCCAAAAAUUAGUUUUUAAUUUGUGAGGCUUAAGAGCUGUCUGUAACAGGAGAUGCUACAUCUGUGCAAGGCCGUUAUGUCGGGUGAAUUUUGAGGUGGGGAAUGAGUUCAAAGAGGAAAAGUGUUAUAAGUGCAACAGUUAGUAGGAGUAAAGAACAAUCUCUCUAUUCCUGCAAAUGUUCAAGUUUUGAAUGUUUUCCUGAGGUAAGAACAGAAAGAAAUUGAGUUUUGUGUGAACUGGCAAUUUAAACCAAAGAUGAUAUUGUCUGUGUUAUUUGGGCUGUUUCCCUUCAGUCAGUUUGAAGAACAUUUUUGAAACAGUAAUCAACUUAAAUAGAAAACCAGUAUAUUGUAAGAGUUUUUCACCAUUUCAAAGCCUUUUUUACCAAGAACUUGAUGAAAAUGGCUCUCUGCAAUGACUAAUUUUGGGUUUGAUGAACAGGAGUCCUUAGACCAGAUUAAUUUUGCUGAAAAAAGGCUGUCCAGCUCUAUUCUCCACAUCCUGGCACAAGAACCACAUUAUCUCAUGUCUCCUGGCAGCUGGUGCGCUGGGUCGGGGAGAAGGGCUCAGCUUUGCACCCAGCCUGGCACUUGGGGAUUGCUCUGUAGUCCUCUGGUACAAACCAAAGUCAAACACUGUGCAAAAUGUUUUUUAUCUAUCCUGCGUAAGCAUCAGUUUGUUAUGCACAGAAAGAGAUCACUGCAUAUAUAAGAGAAGAUUUUUUUAUUUCUUUUUUUAGGUUCAUCCCAAUCAAGUCUUUGUUUUUUAAUUGUUUAUACAUGGAGAAGGUUUAUUGACCAUAUUUCUCCAUGUUUCUUAAUUGUGAGCACAGAUGAAUGUACUGAGCAUAACAUUUCCACUGCCUUAUAUGAGUUCAUAACAUUUUGCAAUAACCCUGGCAAUAUUUGUUUAGAUGAACACUUGAAGGACAUCUGUUGGUGCCGGAAACAAUGAUGUAGGUUUUUGCUUUUGUUUUUUUAAUUGCUAUUUUGUCAGAGGAAUAGGCACACUUCUGUCACUUGCAAAGAAAAUCCUGCUAAGCACCGACAAAAUCUGCUCUGAGUUACCAGUGUUCCUCCUUUCCCUCUCUAAUUGGCAGAGUUGCAAGAACGACUAAAGGUGAAAAAUAAAACAUCAGCUAAAACUUUU